AAUUAAGGAGGACCACCUCCUAAGGCUAAAUACUUUUGGUAACCGAUAGUGAACAAGUAGCGUGAGUGAACGAUGAAAAGAACCCCUUUUAGGGGAGUGAAAUAGAACCUGAAACCAUGUACUUACAAGCGGUGGAAGCACAAUAUUAAUUGAAUUUAUUUCUUUUAAUUCGUGUAACCGCGUGCCUUUUGUAUAAUGAACCGGCGAGUUGUUGUUUGUUGCAGGUUAAGCCUAUAAUGGGUGAAGCCAAAGCGAAAGCGAGUGCUAACUGCGCGAAUAAAUGUAGCAGAUAGCAGACCCGAAACCGAGUGAUCUACCCUUGGUCAGGAUGAAGUUCCGGUAAAACGGAAUGGAGGUCCGAACGCAUUUACGUUGAAAAGUGAUGCGAUGAACUGAGGGGAGGAGUAAAAGUCUAAUCAAACUCGGAGAUAGCUGGUUCUCCCCGAAAUAGCUUUAGGGCUAGCCUUAUGCAACCGUGUAGUAGGGGUAGAGAUACUGAUUGAGUAUUGGGGCCCACCAGGCUACCGAGCACAAUCAAACUCCGAAUACUACUGCAUUUGACAUAGGAGUCAGACUAUGGGGGAUAAGCUCCGUAGUCGAGAGGGAAACAGCCCAGACCAUUAGUUAAGGUCCCUAAAAUGAGCUAAGUGAAAAAGGAAGUGAAAGUGCUAAGACAGCUAGGAUGUUGGCUUAGAAGCAGCAAUCAUUUAAAAAGUGCGUAAUAGCUUACUAGCCGAGUACUUUUGUGCCGAAAAUUAGCGGGACUAAAGCUCAUUACCGAAACUAUGGAUCCUAAUCUUUUAGGAUGGUAGGGGAGCGUUCUAUGAUAGGUUGAAGCCUUACUAAAAAGAGAGGUGGACGAAAUAGAAGUGAGAAUGCCGGUAUAAGUAGCGAUAAUAUAAGUGAGAAUCUUAUUCGCCGAAAGCCUAAGGUUUCCUGGGGAAGGUAAAUCCGCCCAGGGUUAGCCGGUACCUAAGUCGAGGUCGAAAGGCGUAGACGAUGGACAACAGGUUAAUAUUCCUGUGCUGCUAUUUAACGUUUGAGCUUGGGAGGACGUGGACACAACGAUUAGCAAACCCAGUAGACAUGGUUUGUUCAAGCUGGAGAUGCCGCUCUAGGAAAAUCCGGAGCAAUAAGGUGUCGAAAGCGAGUACGUUGGCUCUUGGCCUAGAAGUAAUCUGAGUGUCUUCCAAGAAAAGUCUCGUUAGCGAGUUAACAUGGCAACCGUACUAAAACUGACACAGGUAGGCAAGGAGAGAAUCCUAAGGCGCUCGAGAGAACCCUCGUUAAGGAAUUCGGCAAACAUACUCCGUAACUUCGGGAUAAGGAGUGCCUUUUUAACUUCGGUUAAAAAGGUCGCAGUGAAAAAGGUCCGGGCGACUGUUUACUAAAAACACAGGUCUCUGCUAAAAUGUAUAAUUGAUGUAUAGAGACUGACGCGUGCUCGAUGCCAGAAAGUUAAGGGGAUAGGUUAUUUCCUGAGCAAUCAGGAGAGAAGCUUGGAACUGAAGCUCUGGUGAAUGGCGGCUCUAACUAUGAGAGUCCUAAGGUAGCGAAGUUCCUUGUCGGGUAAUUUCCGACGCGCAUGAAUCGCGUAACGACCUGGACACUGUCUCAACGAGGGACUCGGCGAAAUUGUAGUUGUGGUGAAGAUGCCACAUACCCGCGGAAAGACGGAAAGACCCCGUGAACCUUUACUGUAGCUUAUUAUUGGAUUUUGGCGCAGUAUGU
rnacentral:rRNA from 1 species